rnacentral:lncRNA from 1 species
CGCGUCCCCGGCCGCGCCCCGCCUUCCGCGCCCUCCCGCGCCGCGUUCCCGAAACUUCAAGGCCUGCCGCGGGCCUCUCGGAAGACGGAGAGGGAAAGCGGGGCGCCGGCGGCCCGUGCAGGCGCUCCGAGCCCGGACUGCCGGCCGGGAGGGGAAGGGCGCGCAGGGCUGUCCUGCAGGCUCCGGAUGCGCGCCCCUCCUCACCGCCGUGCCUGCUCACCGUCUCCCUCCCUCCGAGCCCGGAGAACGAGGAGGCAGGUGUGAUCACAAGCACAGUGAAUGCUGCUGCGCAGUGCCGGUAGGCUCAUGAGAAAGGCGGGCUUGUGAGAACAUGACGGUGUGUCCUCCUCCACCCUACUCACCAGAUCUGGACUGUGCGACCUCUGGCCGUUCCCUAGAGUCAAAAUAACCAUGCAAGGUCAGUGUUUUGAAUCAGUUCAAGACAUCAAGGCCGCCAUAACAGCAGAACUAAAGACGGGAAGAAAAGAAGCAGGAAUGAUGGGCUACAUGUGUGUGAAGUGAGGAGGGAGUAUUUUGAGGGGGAAUUAACGGCCAUGUGUCCUUCUUUUUUUAUUUUAAAGAGAAAAAAC